UCCGGUUUGUCACCGGCAGUCUCCCUAGAGUGCCCUUGCGUAGCAACUAGGGACAAGGGUUGCGCUCGUUGCGGGACUUAACCCAACAUCUCACGACACGAGCUGACGACAGCCAUGCAGCACCUGUGUUGCCGUUCCCUUUCGGGCACAGCCGCCUUUCAGCAGCCUUCGGCACAUGUCAAGGGUAGGUAAGGUUGUUCGCGUUGCAUCGAAUUAAUCCACAUCAUCCACCGCUUGUGCGGGUCCCCGUCAAUUCCUUUGAGUUUUAACCUUGCGGCCGUACUCCCCAGGCGGUCGACUUCACGCGUUAGCUACGGUACCAAGGAAUCGCUUCCCCGACACCCAGUCGACAUCGUUUAGGGCGUGGACUAC
rnacentral:misc_RNA from 1 species